rnacentral:rRNA from 1 species
AAGGUGGCCUGUGAGGGUUGCUGGAGGUAUCAGAAGUGCGAAUGCUGACAUAAGUAACGAUAAAGCGGGUGAAAAGCCCGCUCGCCGGAAGACCAAGGGUUCCUGUCCAACGUUAAUCGGGGCAGGGUGAGUCGACCCCUAAGGCGAGGCCGAAAGGCGUAGUCGAUGGGAAACGGGUUAAUAUUCCCGUACUUGGUGUUACUGCGAAGGGGGGACGGAGAAGGCUAUGUUGGCCGGGCGACGGUUGUCCCGGUUUAAGCGUGUAGGUGUGUGUUCCAGGUAAAUCCGGUUCACUUUAACACUGAGGCGUGACGACGAGGCACUACGGUGCUGAAGCAACAAAUGCCCUGCUUCCAGGAAAAGCCUCUAAGCAUCAGGUAACAUCAAAUCGUACCCCAAACCGACACAGGUGGUCAGGUAGAGAAUACCAAGGCGCUUGAGAGAACUCGGGUGAAGGAACUAGGCAAAAUGGUGCCGUAACUUCGGGAGAAGGCACGCUGACACGUAGGUGAAGUGAUUUACUCAUGGAGCUGAAGUCAGUCGAAGAUACCAGCUGGCUGCAACUGUUUAUUAAAAACACAGCACUGUGCAAACACGAAAGUGGACGUAUACGGUGUGACGCCUGCCCGGUGCCGGAAGGUUAAUUGAUGGGGUCAGCGCAAGCGAAGCUCCUGAUCGAAGCCCCGGUAAACGGCGGCCGUAACUAUAACGGUCCUAAGGUAGCGAAAUUCCUUGUCGGGUAAGUUCCGACCUGCACGAAUGGCGUAAUGAUGGCCAGGCUGUCUCCACCCGAGACUCAGUGAAAUUGAACUCGCUGUGAAGAUGCAGUGUACCCGCGGCAAGACGGAAAGACCCCGUGAACCUUUACUAUAGCUUGACACUGAACAUUGAGCCUUGAUGUGUAGGAUAGGUGGGAGGCUUUGAAGCGUGGACGCCAGUCUGCGUGGAGCCGACCUUGAAAUACCACCCUUUAAUGUUUGAUGUUCUAACGUGGACCCGUGAUCCGGGUUGCGGACAGUGUCUGGUGGGUAGUUUGACUGGGGCGGUCUCCUCCUAAAGAGUAACGGAGGAGCACGAAGGUUGGCUAAUCCUGGUCGGACAUCAGGAGGUUAGUGCAAUGGCAUAAGCCAGCUUGACUGCGAGCGUGACGGCGCGAGCAGGUGCGAAAGCAGGUCAUAGUGAUCCGGUGGUUCUGAAUGGAAGGGCCAUCGCUCAACGGAUAAAAGGUACUCCGGGGAUAACAGGCUGAUACCGCCCAAGAGUUCAUAUCGACGGCGGUGUUUGGCACCUCGAUGUCGGCUCAUCACAUCCUGGGGCUGAAGUAGGUCCCAAGGGUAUGGCUGUUCGCCAUUUAAAGUGGUACGCGAGCUGGGUUUAGAACGUCGUGAGACAGUUCGGUCCCUAUCUGCCGUGGGCGCUGGAGAACUGAGGGGGGCUGCUCCUAGUACGAGAGGACCGGAGUGGACGCAUCACUGGUGUUCGGGUUGUCAUGCCAAUGGCACUGCCCGGUAGCUAAAUGCGGAAGAGAUAAGUGCUGAAAGCAUCUAAGCACGAAACUUGCCCCGAGAUGAGUUCUCCCUGAGACUU